CUUGCAGGAUCCAGGGGACCAGCUCCCCCAGCCAGCUUCCUGCCCGCUCCUUCAAUCAAAUGGACUAAAAGCCUUGCUGAUAAAAGUAAUAAUUCAAAUACCUGCUACUAUGUACCAAAAGGCAACUAAGUACCUGGUGUUGGCUAGAAAAAAAUUAAAGCUGAAACUUACACUAAUCAAUAUAUUCUUAAAACUUCAAAACUUUAAAAUUUGAAGUGCUCAGCCUCACAAAACAAAAAGUAAUGACUUUCAACAGCCUCAUCUGGGAAGAGGAGCAGUAAAUUCUUAACUCCGAGAUAGUCAUUCGGUGGCUACCAGAUAUGGAAAGAAGAGGGGAUACAAGAUGAAACGGAGCACAACACAUUCCAACCAAGACACCUCCUAUCUUAAGGGAAAGGAAUGGAACUCAAGCAAAUAAAAUGGCAAGGCAGAUGAGCUCAAGGAGCAUAUUUGAUGCGGCUUUUUUCUAUUGAGGUUAUCCCCAGUCCGCUGACUUCUGUGAUGAUAUAAUAAGACGAACACGGGAUUUUCCUAAAAGAGUAAUCAAAGCAGCAUUUAACAAAUACAUAUACAACAAAAUAGUAAGAAAAGAAGAAAGAAAUUAGAAAACAAGACCAAAAAAGAAAGAAAGAAAGAAAGAAGAGAGAAAGGAAGGAAAGAAGGAAGGAAGAAAUUAGAAAGCAAGACCAAGGAAAGGAGAAGAUGUGUGUGUUCCUUUAUGGUGACUUUCUCCACAUGCCUUUCAACACCUUCCAUCUGUAGAGAAGCCAACCUGCUCAAGUCAAUACUUGUCAUCCUCGAGCACAAGAGGAACUGAGACUCUCGAGCCAACAGCCUGCAAGGAACUGAAGCCUGCCAACAACCAUGUGACCGAGCUUGGAAGCUAGUGCUUCAGCCUCAGUUGAGUCUUGAGAUAACUGCAGCCCCAGCGAACAGCUUGACUGCACCCUCCUGAGAGAUCUUGAGUGAAAGGUACCCAGUUAAGCUGCUCUUGAAAUUCCUGAUUCAAAGAAAUUCUGAGAUAAUACCCGUUUG
ensembl:lncRNA